GGGGCUCCUCUCCCCGGCUGCGGCUCGGCCUCGCCCUCCUCCAGGCCGGGAGGAGCCGCCGUCUGCGCCCGCCGGCAGGGGGAGGGGGAGGGUUAUUUUUACCUCCCUCCAGGCAGCCGGGGCGACAGGAAGUGAGCGCGCGGCCCGCCAGAUGUGGGGAGCCAGGCAGCUGGGAGCAGCCACAGCUGGACUGGCGGCCGGCCGGGGUCGGGGCGGGGGGCGUGGGGAGGCGGGGUGUGCGGAAGGCGGAUCCCAGGCCUCGGGUCCCCCCUUUGUUCCCCGCCGCCCUAGCCUCGCGUCCGAGGUCCCCCCCUUCACCCCCAUCCCCCCGCUCCUCCCGGUGGUGGCUUCGCUGUCCCCCAUCUGUGCGCCGGUGCCCUCGCUGCUCACGGGCUCUCGGGUCCCGGGCGGGAGGGGGGCGGGGACCCUGCUCCCCGGCGUGGGGACCCCCGGGUCCCAGCGGAGUGAGGGGUGGGAGGGGGAGACGGCCCCUCGUCGGCCCCUCGUCGGCCCCGCCUGCCACCGCCAUUGUUUACCCGUCGGCUGCCUCCUAGGAAACUUAACCCGCCCGCGGUAAUUUUAUUUGGGAACUUCGGCCAGUUGCCAUAGCAACCCCCAGUGACGUCAGAGGGGCUGGGGCCCGAAAUCCCCGGGAAAGGGGGGGAUGGGAUGACGGGGGAGACCCCCAGGAGGGCCCCUCCUUAACCCUGCUCCUGCCAGGCCCCAGGCAGAGGGGAGAAGGCAGCCAGAUGUGACAACUCUUGGGCGCCCCCAUUCUGGCGCGGUGCCAAGUGAGGGUGGCAGGCCAGGCCCUGAUGUCAUCCGGUGCUGGGUGGGUGGUGAGUCAGUCCUCGGAUGGGGGCUGGGCCGGGCCUGGGGGCUAUUCCCGUCUGGCUCACCCCUCCAGUGCCCCGGAGCAACACCCAGACCCUGCCCUAGGGAUUUCAGGCGCCAGGCUGGGGGGUCCCCACAGGUCCCUGGGGGCUUCUCCUUCUCUGAACUCUAGGUGGGUAGGCAAGAGCUUUCCUGGUGCUCCCCCACGGGUCUAGGGUGGGCUGAAUGCAAGGGUUAGCGGCAGUGAAUUGGGGCCACCUCAUAAUGUCCUUCUCUGGAUGUGGGGAAUGGCCGGAGCCCCAGUGAGGGGGCAGGUGGUGGGAUCCCUGCUCACUCCGUAACACCCCCUGUCACCAGGGCGAUGGGAGGCCAGGGCCCAGACUGGCAAGGAGGAGCGCGCGCGCCAGGGGGGCUGGGCUGGGAGGAGCCACCCUAACCACAGUGACGUGGGACUUCCUCGGCAGGGCCUGUUUGAUGUCUCUGUGUGCAGCGUUGCCAUGGGGCCCGGCAGGCAGCCCUGCGUGUGAGCUGGGGUGACCUACAGGGCGGCUGGGUCUGCCAGGGUCCCUUGACCCAGCGCCCCCAUCCCAGGCCUACAUGACUGCGAAGACCUGGUACACCUCUGCGCACAUGCUUAUCCAACUUUGACCCACCCCAGGCCCUGGGCCAGGACAUUUAUUCUCAUCUCCUCUCAGAGCCUUGUGACAACUGCAAACUGCACAUUUUCGAGAUAAAGAAACUGAGGUUCAGAGAAGUGUGAUCGUUUGGCCAAAGAUAGUCAGCUAGAAAGUCGGGGAGCAAGCAUUUGAAACUCAGAUCUUCUCCCACUCUGCUCCGCUCCUCCCUCCGUCACGCUGGUCUCCUCAUUGUUUCUCAAAUCCGCCAGGCAUGUUCCUGCCUCGCACAGGCUGUUCCCUCCACCUUGGACUUUUCCUCCAGAUGUCUGCAUGGCUCCUCCUUCACCUCCUACCAGUCUUUGUUCAAAUGUCACCUCCUCCUCAUUUUUUUUUUUUAAAGAUUUUAUUUAUUUAUUUGACAGAGACAGACCCAGAGAGAGAGGGAACACAAGCAGGGGAAGUGGGAGAGGGAGAAGCAGGCUUCCCGCCGAGCAGGGAGCCCGAUGUGGGGCUUGACCCCAGGACCCUGGGGUCAUGACCUGAGCUGAAGGCAGACGCUUAGCGACUGAGCCAGCCAGGUGCCCCUCACCUCCUCCUCAUGCAGCCUUUCCUGACCCGGCCCCCACCGGCUCCAUCCUCAUCUCCUUUGCCGCCUUCUGUUCUCCCUUAACACCUAGCACCCAACACACAGUAUAUCUUUAUACUCAUCUCUCUGUUUUUGUUUGUGUUUAUUUCCCCUACAGAUGUCAGCCCCAUAAGGGCAAAGAUUUUUUUCUGGCUUGUUCUCUGCUGUGUCCCCAGUGCCCAGAACAGUGCCUCGCACACAGCAGGCACUCAAUGAAUGUUUGAAGAAUAAACAAAUGGGCGUGUGUGAUCCCUGUGCCACUUGACCACUUAACCUGGCCUCACCCUGGCCCUGUACCCCUACCCCUCCCUGUCAUGACAAAGGAUCCGCUGGCCAGUUUGGAGAGCUCCUAUCCCUGUUGGCUGCUAUCCCUGGGUAAAUUGGUCAGCCCAGGACCAGGGCAUGUGGGGUAAACGUCGGGGGAUCCAGAGGGAGGGCUGGUGGCACUGGGAGGUCCCUCCAAGCUUGUGCUGAAGGAUGCUUAGUGAGCUGGGGUGGUUUGAGCCACGUGCAGGUAAUGGCGUUUCCAGGGCCGUGGCACAGGUAUCCCUGGAGGACAGCGUGGAGGAGGCAUUUCUCCUAAAUGUGUGCCCAACCGGAUUACUGACAGGAGAGGGAUGGUUCUGGAUGGGAGGUCUUGUUCUGGGGUCUGAAGGAAGCAUUCUGGAGGGGCAGCGUGGAGGGGAUGCCCUGUAGUAAUUUGGUCGCUUUCUAUUUCUGCAAUGACAAGCCUGUGUGUGUGUGAGACCCUGGACCCUGAGGACUCCAUUCCCCUGUUUGUAGCUGCUCAGGAGGCCAUGUGGCAAGUGCCCCACCCUUCUCUGGGCCCCGCCUUGAGUUGGGGAAUUCUGUGCCACCCCAAAUCUUCCCCCAGGGCCCCACAGGCUGCUCUGCCCCCUCCUGCCCCAACCUGCCAGAUCCUGCAGCUUGGGCCAGCCUGCCCCUUGGGCCCCACAGAGAAGAAAGACCCAGGAACCCCCCAGGCUGGGUCCCAUGGGAUGGUAGCUAGGUGUGGCUUUCACCCGCCUCUCCCCAUCCCACUAAGAUCCAAGGUGGGGAGCCUGCUGAGCUGAACCAAGGAAAUGAAGGACUCUGGAGGAAUUCUGGGGUGCGAGGUGACCCAGAGGCAUCCAACGAGCCCCUCUGGUCCCCUGCCUGGGCCUGCUGUUGGGUUCCCCACUCCCCAGCAUUACUCUUACUGCCCAGGAGGAGGGUGGUGAAGAAUCUGACCCCCAGCCCCAAUUAUAUGACUUCAGAAAUGUCGGGAGUGGGUGGAGAAAAACAGUCCCCCAAAGCAAUGCCCACACAGGUCUGAGAAGGGUCCUUUGGCUCCAGAACCCCACCCGCUGUGGUGGUGGUGGUCUGGCGGCCUGCAGCUCCUGUCCCAUCUUGUAGAGGGCAAAGUGGCAGUCAGGCAUGCCCAAGGAGGCUGUCUUGGCGGCAGAGGGCACCCCGCCCCUCCUUUGCUUAGUUUUGUUCCUGGCCCCCCACCUGGGCACAAGGCCAGGCCCCAAGGCAGGGCCCCGUCCUGGGGAACAAUGCAGCCGUGUUUCUCCGGGUGGAGGGGAGGUCGGUGGAGGAUGUGGUGGGACAGACGCAGGCAGGGAGGGAGGGAGGGAUCCAGGGACGGACUCUAUCCCAGGGAUACUCCAGGAGCUGGGGAGUUUCCCAGAGCCCCUGGGUAGGGCGGGGGGGCCGCGAUGCUGGGAAGCCAAAGUGGGGAGGGAACCUUGAUCCAGGACUGGGGGCAGAGUCUUGAACAGCAGCAGGAGAGGGUUGGGUGGGAUAAAAGGAGGGACUUCCUGGGUUUGAAGAAGACACUGUGGAAGAACUGGAAGUGGGUAUUGGUGUUUGGCAGGAACCCAGAAUACCCAGGCCCAUUGGCAGGAACCCAGGAUACCCAGGCCCAUUGGCAGGAACCCAGGAUACCCAGGCCCAUGCCCUCCCAGGGAAGGUACACAGUAGCGGUAUGGCCUCCAUCCUCUGCCGCCGCGCCUCCCACCCCACAUCUCCCUUGCCCCCGCCCACGGCCUCCCGGGUUUCUCUUCCUGCGCAGGGGCAGGACUUUGCCAAGAGGGCUUUGGGGGUGCAAGGGGGAUUAGGACCCCUGCUUCUGUCCUCCCUCCCCGCGGGGAGAGCCUUCGCUUAAAAUCUGGGGCUGCUUCCAGAGUCCAGGGCCGGGAGGGGGAAGCUGGGCUGGGUUUGGGGCCCCAGGUAGAGUCGGGACAAGGAGGGAGAAAGUUGGGGCUGAGUUGGGGGACCGGAGAGAGAAAGUGGGGGCGGACCGGCUCCGGGGGCACAUGACGGCGGCGGCCGCCCCGCCCCGCGCCCGCCCCCUGUCCGGCCGGGGGGAGGAGACGGGAAGGUUUUAAAAGCGAUUCGGCCCCGCGGCGGGCCGGCCAGUGAGUGGGAUGGAGCGCGGCCGGCGACCGACCCCGGCCCGUCUCGGGCCCGCCGCCCGCCCACGACUCUGCCACCGGGCCCCGGGCGGCGGCCGGAGCCCCGAGUGCCGGCUCCCCUCCCCCGCGGCCCCACACUGACCUCUGACCCCAGCACUGGACUUGACUGCCACCAAAGCCCCCAGCCCUACACUGACUUGCCUAUCCAGCCCAGCCAGGCCCCGCCAGACCCCGUGUCCUCCUGAAUGCCUUGAAGGUGCAGUGGGCUCGCUGUCACCUGCCCCCUCCCUGCCUCGGCCCUAACCCGCUGCCCGCUUAUGAUGACGGGUGGUGGAUGAGGGUAAGGCUGGGGGGGGGGGCGGUGUGGGACCCCUGGCAUGAAGGGUGUCCUCUGGCAGCCCUGCCCAUGCCAGCCGGAGCUGGAGGGCAGUACCCAACAGGUGCCCCGGCUCAGAGGCGAGGUGAUGUGGGACACACCCUGUCCGCUCGCCCACGCACCCUGCCCGGGCCAGCCCGUGCGCAUGUGUUCACAUGCCGCCGUCCUGGGAAGGCACGGGCCCUGGGGCCGGGUGCCAGCUCUGUCCCAGCUCCCAGAAGGGCGCCCAUUGGCCUCUGCCCUUGCAGGAUGUCCUCUGGGAGCUCCUUCAAGACCCCAACUGGCAGGCCUCGUCUGUGGGCCUAAGAGGGGGCCCGAAAAUAGCUGCGGGCCUGGCCCAGGGCUGGCACGCGGAGCACAUGCGUGACAGGGCGUGUCCCGGGGGGGUCGGGCCUGUCUGUGCUGGCCCGGCCUCCAAGUCUCCGCAGACCCUUGCUCACUGGAGAGCCACAGCGGAGGCGGAUGCUCCAGGGUCCUCCCGGGGACCCCUGUAUCCACCCCUGCCUGUUGUAAGUGGAGGCCAGAUGUUCCGUGGAAGCCGCAGCUGCUGGGCAGAUCCCUGUCUCAUCUGCAGUCCCAGGGUGACUGGCCCUAUGCUCAGGGUGGGUAGAAUGGGGUGACCGGCUUGCUAUGGGCUCAGGUGGCACUUUGAUAUACCUUAAGGCAUUUUUCAGAGUGUGCCCUUCGCCUUGGGAAGCUGAGUGGAGGGGGGUCUGUUUGCGGUGAAGAAAACCACCGGGAACCCUGGGUGGGGGGCACCUUUCCCGCCCCUCACUGGGCUGGCUGGCCAGCCCGUUCCUAUUUGGAUACACUUUCUGCCAGGAGCAGUCCUGGCUUUUCCUUAGAUUUACUGCCUGACCUUGGGCCUGGCUCUGAAUUCCUGCGGGCCUCAGUUUCUCCAUCUGUAAAUGGGGAGCGUCGGAAAGCAAGCGGAGAGAAGCGCACUUCCCCUUCCCGUGGCAGAUCCCUUGUGGGGCGCUCUGGCCACCUUCCCUCCUGCCUUCGGGUGUCCUGGGUGGACAAGGAGGUGUGUCUGGAGAAGGCUGGUCACCUGGGAAGGACGUACACGGAGGGCAGUGGACGUGGGCGUGUGGGAAUCCUUGGGCAGAGAAGGACGCCGCCAUGCUGGGCACGGCUGAGUCAUGCUCCAGCGGCGCCUUGCCCCAGGGUGCUGGAGCUGGCGCCACCCUGGGUGUGGUCACUGAGCUGUGGCCCUGGGCAGAGCAGGCCUGGGUGGUCUGGGAUGGGGGGCCUGGGUUGAGCCGCCAGGAAGCUGACUGCUGAGCCUCGAAGACCCUUGGCCUUCCCCUGGCCUGGGUCUGGCAUCACCAUCCAGGACUGUGGUCACCCACACCCUUAGAAUGCCUUGGGGAUCCUGGGGGCCCUAAGCCUUGGGCCUGGGAAUUUUGGGGGUGUUGAGGAAGGAGGACAUGACCCAGAAGCCAGUGAUUUGCCUUGAGGCCAGGGCCCCCCCAAAACACAGGCCAGGACCGGGACGUGGACCUGUGAGGACAAGGCAAGGGAUGAACAUGGCAGAAGGGUGUGCCGCUCAGUUAAGGGCUCUCAGUGUGGACGUUAGGGGGCCCCUGGGAAUUCUGUGACUGACCCUAGGGGGAUUAAAGUUUAAGGCAGGGGUUGGAGUUUGGUGUGGCGUGGCUGGGCGCAAUGGGGGCUGGGAUAUGACUUGCAUGGUUCCCCUAUUUAUAACAAGUGAUUCAGUCCUCACUUACUCACCCCUUCCUGGGCCUGGCCCCUCCCCCCAGCCCUGGGUGGGCAGCGGGGGCCCACCCACUUGCCACUGUCCUGCCCUCUUCCACCCAGGUGCCAGCCUCUGAGGGCUGCCCAUCGGGCCGGUUGUUAUGGUCGCUGUGCUGGGCCUGGGGUAAUGGAUGGGGGGCUGGUGGUCAGGCGGCCCUUGGCUGGGCAGCCCAGGUUGGCGGCUGGCUCUGGGCCCGGCCCAGGGAGCCUCUGCGGAGAGUCUAGGCCCAUUAGGCAAAGCGUUAGUGACAGGCUGGGCGGGCGGGCGGUGGCGGGCAGGGCGGGGCCUGUAGCCCUUGGUAUUUUCCGAUCCCAGCUGCUCCGAGAGGGUGGAAAGUAUUUGGGGACCAGGCUUGGGGGCGGUGGUGGUGGCGCCCCCGGCGGAAGCUGCCCCUGAUUCAUUCUUGGAGCAUGGGGUUGGGGGGGCAGCAGUAUGCCUGCCUGCUUCCGUCUCAUGCCUCCACGCCCUGUCUGCCGAGCGUACUCCAGCAUACAUGGACACACACAUACAUGCACACACACGCACACAUACAUACACGCACAAUACGUACAUGCACACAUACGUACAUGCACACAUACAUACAUCAGUGUGGCUCGGGGCCUGCUUUGCUCCCUCGGCCCAGGGGCCCAUCUUCUCCCCAGGCUUCCAGCUGCCAAGAACUUGGCCUUCCCUGGACACCACCUCUUGUGAGCCCAAGAGGGACACCACUGGUAACGGGGGCCCUGGCUCCUGGGUACCUGCGUGGCAGUGCCCCAUCCAUGAGAGACCCAGGCCUUUUGUGCCUUUAGGGAUGGGGAGUGGCCUUGGCCCCGGCCCGGGGCUCUGUGCAGGGGAAACCCCACAGGAAACGGGCCUGGCCAAAUGGCCGCCCUUCCCGUUCUCGUCCCUGGGACACGAAUGUGCUGUCUCACUUCCGGAGGCGGCCCAGGGAGGCCGGCCGCCCUGCAGGGCCUUGUCUGCUCCCGGUUGGUGCCCCCAGACCCUGAGGGGACAGGGUUGGGCUGGGGCCUGCUGGGAAAGCGGGUGGCCAGUGUGUGUGUCUGCGUGUAUGGGACGGGUCGGGGAACAGAGCAGGACAUCUCUCUCCACCUGUCUCCCAGUGGUGGGUGCCACCGGCUCUGGGCACCGGGGUCCCGCCAGUGUUUGGAGUCCUCAUUUCUACCAUCUUUUCUGUUUCUGCCUGAUGACGACAGCCCAGCCCCAUCUUAAUUACACGUACCACUUCUGAGAUCCUUACCGCCACAUCCCUGCUUUGCAGAUGGGGAAAGGGAGGCCCAGAGAGGUUGAGUGACUUUCUAGGAGUCACCCAGCUAGGAAGCUACAGAGCCAGGGUUCAGAUCUGCCCAAAUGGGCUCCAGAGUUGGGGUGUCCUAGCCACAGGGCUCUUGCCAUUAAGGAGAUCUCCAUUUACUGAACAUAGGGCGGCUUCAUGGGCUUGUGACCAUGCAGCUCACAGCGUCUCUCUUGCUUAGAAUGACCUGAAGCCUGGAUUAAUGUUCUGCUGUCAGCGUCUUGACAUUCUUAACUUGUGAAGAAGGGGUCCCACAAUUUCAUUUUGCACUGAUUCCCGAAAGUUCUGGAAGGCGGUCCUGGUGCUGGGCACUUGCUGAAAUGACAUACGCACUCUCGGUGAAACUUCCCUGUGCUAUUCAGUUGAGGCUCUUGGCUCUGUUUUACAGAUGGGGAAACUGAGGCUUGGAGGGCAUUUGGAAAACUGCUGAGUGGGGAUUUGCACCUUGAGCCUGGGUCUGGUGCUCUUGGGGAUGUGUGUGCCCGAGGGGAGAGCGGGACACCCACUGCAGGCAUCUGCUCUGCUGGGGUGCAGGCUGAGGCCUGGCUACUGAGGAGACGGGGCCACGGGGGGAGGCCCUGGUGGUUUCCUCCUGCCCUUCAGGCUUCUAGGAAGUGGCGCCAGCUGGGGUGAGAUCACUUCCUCACCCGCCUGCCCGCCACCCCCUCGACUUCCUCUCCUCAUGGCCCCAUUUAGCCCGCCCAGGGCUCACUGGUGGGGAGGGGCGGGAAAAGCGGGGGGGACCUGGCUCUGGGAGUCCCUGCAGCCUCCUUGGCCCAGAGGGAUUUGGGCAUCUCUGCCUCUGGGACUGAGGGCAGGGCUGCGGUGGGGGCGUGCAGCCCGAUGGUACAGCAUUCUCUUCGGCGGCGGCUGCGUGCGGGGAGGAGGGCUUCCCUCCGUGGGCAGCAGCAGGCGGGGGGACCCGCAGGACAGACAUCUUCAAAUCUCAUUACCUCCUUUGCUCUCUCUCCCCCCCUCAGGUGCCAGCCGCUGGCCCCACCCGGUGCCCCCCCCACCCCUGUGCCAUGGCCGGCUGGGGUUCCUGGGGAUGGGAUUUGCUGCCUGUCACAAAUCACAUUGCCAGGGAUUUCCAACCGACCCUGAGCCCUGCCUCUGGGGCUUCCACCACCGCCACCACCACCGCUGAGGACACUGCCCGAGGAUGGGGGUGGGGGUGGGUGGCACAGAGGCCCCUGCUGUCUGCGUCCGGCCUGGGGAGCAGGGCUUAGCUGCUUGUGAGCAGAGUCCACACCAAGUCGUGUUCACAGUGGCUAAGUUCCGCCCCCCGGGACCCCGCCUCCUCCGGCUCUGGGGCUGUGCCUGCCUGUCCCACUGUCGGGGCCUCCCUGGGCUCUGCCUCCCGUGCCUACUGAGCUGAAACACAGUUGAUUUGUGCAGACUGGCUCAGUUCAGCAGGAACAGGAGUCGAGCCCCCUCGGAGCCUGUGGCGCCUGCCUUCCUUGGGUGGGCUGAUGCCUGGGGGGCGGGGGGGAAGACCCAGACCUGUGUCUGGAGGAGGGACUUGGGGAGGGAUGUAGCCUGGAAUGGGGUAGGUGGACCCAGCUGUCUGCUGCAGGCCCCCUCCCCCAACAAUGUACUUGGGGAGGGCCUCCCCCAGCACAGUCCUACCCAUAGCUGGGCUGUACUCCUGGGGAGAACGGGCAGGUGGGUGGUUGCCCUUCCAUGAAAGAGGGAAAAGCUGUGUCUGCAGCCCCCCACCCCCCCCACCCCUCCCAGCCUGGAGCCUUUCUCUCCCAAGCCUGGUGGGGCAUGGGCCAGGCCUGUGCCUUCCCAGCAGCCAGUUACUCAAGAGGAAGCUGCCUUGGGUCCCCAGACCGUUAAAUGCCAACUCCAGCUUCCGGAACCAGGCUGGCCUGACCUGAGUGUGCCUGGCCCCUUCUCACUGAGCCCUGCAGCUUCCUAACUCGGGGGGAGGAGCCCUGACACCCUCCUGGCACAUGGGGCGGGGAGCAAGGUCCCUGUGAGUCCAGAAAGGACACAAACGGGCCUUUUCAGUCCUCAGGUGGUGCCAGGCUGUCCAAGAGUUGAGACUGUCCAGUAUCAGAUGGGAUGGGGCUCUUUUUGGAGUGAGACUGGGGAAACAGGGAGCAGCCCCCUAGGGCGUCAGGGCUGGCCCAGCAUUCCUGUCCCACCUGGGGUAGCGGCCAACAUGAGCUCGGGGCAGGGGUCUGUGUUGUGUGUGGCUCCUGUCGUCCAAUUAAAAUAAAAGCUGCCCCCUGCCUCA